ACUCCUACGGGAGGCAGCAGUGAGGAAUAUUGGUCAAUGGGCGCAAGCCUGAACCAGCCAUGCCGCGUGCAGGAAGACUGCCCUAUGGGUUGUAAACUGCUUUUAUACAGGAAGAAACACUCGGACGUGUCCGAGCUUGACGGUACUGUAAGAAUAAGGAUCGGCUAACUCCGUGCCAGCAGCCGCGGUAAUACGGAGGAUCCAAGCGUUAUCCGGAAUCAUUGGGUUUAAAGGGUCCGUAGGUGGAUUAGUAAGUCAGAGGUGAAAGCCUGCAGCUCAACUGUAGAACUGCCUUUGAUACUGCUAGUCUUGAGUCAUUAUGAAGUGGUUAGAAUGUGUAGUGUAGCGGUGAAAUGCAUAGAUAUUACACAGAAUACCGAUUGCGAAGGCAGAUCACUAAUAAUGUACUGACACUGAUGGACGAAAGCGUGGGAGCGAACAGGAUUAGAUACCCCUGGUAGCGACUGA
rnacentral:rRNA from 1 species